AUACUUACCUGGCAGAGAAGAUACCAUGAUCAUGAAGGUGGCUUUCCCAACAAUGCUUACCCACUGCACUGCAGAUGUGCUGACCCCGAAGUUUCCUCAAAUGUGGGGGGUGGGGAGGGGAAACCUGACUAUAAUUUGUGGUAGAAGGGGAGCAUUUGUGUUCUCCCCUU